rnacentral:rRNA from 1 species
GAUGAACGCUGGCGGCGUGCCUAAUACAUGCAAGUCGAGCGAACAGACGCGGAGCUUGCUCCUCUCACGUGAGCGGCGGGCGGGUGUGUAACGCGUGUAUACCCUACCUGUAUGUCGGGGAUCACUUCGGGAAACCGGAGCUAAUCCCGUAUAAGCUAUUGAACCGCAUGGUUCAUUAGUGAGAUACGGCUUUUCGGUCACUACUAGAUGGAUCCGCGCCGCAUUAGGUAGUUGGGAAUGUACCGGCUUACCAAGGCGACCAUGCGUAGACGACCUAGGAGGGUGAUAGGCCACCUGGGAACUGGGACACGGUCCAGACUCCUGCGGGAGGCCGCAGUAGGGAAUCUUCCGCAGUGGGCGAGAGCCUGACGGAGCAAGGCCGAGUGAGUGAUGAAGGUCUUCGGAGCGUAAAAAUCUGUUAUUAGGGAAGAACCAAUGUGUAAGUAACCAUGCACGUCUUGACGGUACCUAAUCAGAAAGCCACGGCUAACUACGUG